AACUUAAAGGAAUUGACGGGGACCCGCACAAGCAGCGGAGCGUGUGGUUUAAUUCGUUGCUACACGAAGAACCUUACCUGGGUUUGACAUAUAGGUUGUAGGGAACUGAAAAGGGACCGACCCUUCGGGGAGCCUAUACAGGUGUUGCAUGGCUGUCGUCAGCUCGUGUCGUGAGAUGUUCGGUUAAGUCCGCUAACGAGCGCAACCCUCGUCGUAUGUUAUAUGUGUCAUACGAGACUGCCGGUAAAAAGCCGGAGGAAGGUGAGGAUGAUGUCAAGUCAGCAUGACCUUUAUAUCCAGGGCUACACACACGCUACAAUGGUCUGUACAAUGGGUAGCCAAGCCGCGAGGCGGAGCCAAUCCUGAAAGCAGGCCUCAGUUCAGAUUGCAGUCUGCAACUCGACUGCAUGAAGCCGGAGUUGCUAGUAACCGCAGGUCAGCUAUACUGCGGUGAAUACGUUCCCGGGGCUU
rnacentral:rRNA from 1 species